rnacentral:tRNA from 1 species
AUUUAUAUAGUUUAGAAAAAAUAUUACAUUUUCAAUGUAAAGAAAAAUAAAAAUUUUAUAAAUG